UGGAAGUUUGACAGUGGCACCCACUGAAUAGAAAGUCACCCUUGGCCGUGGAUGCAUCCUCUUGAAUUCAUGUGUAGCAGUUUAGCUGCUCAUCAGUUUGAUUGAUGUGAAAUCCACCUAAGUAUCUACUGAAGCACACUUCCAGGCUCUCAUAGAAACCUGAGUCUUGUUAUUCCAUUGUUGAACAUAUCCUACCAUGAACAUCCACGGAAGAAUUUCUGGGUGUGACUCAAACGUUGUGGAGACUGUUUGCAGAAAGGACACACGUGUACUGAAGUGAUGUGCUGGAGCCCUUGAAACGCAUGACAUUUAUCAGCAAGGCAUUGCCUUUGUCACCUUUUCAGGUACAAGUGUAAUCUUGUUUGCCGCUUUUCCGAUUACCUGCACCACUCCUGCAUCAGUCUUUCUUAUGCAGUACUCUAAGAAGAAUAAAGAUGGGCUGUCCCCAACAUUGCCCAUUUACUUUGUAGACAUUGAAAUAUGUCGUUGUAAUGCCCCUUUAUCUCCUCCACAAAGGCUCCUACU